ensembl:lncRNA
CUCCAACCUGAGGGGGGAGUGGCCGUGAGAGCAAUGUCUCUGUGCAAGUGCAGCUCGUUCCUCCCCUCUGACAGGGGCAGAAGGAGGGAGGCAACAGACAAAAGCAGAAAGCGUCUGCAUAUCCCUCGUGGCUCUAAUUUCCUGCCUUACGCUGGGAAACGAGCUGAGCCGCUGGGCCUCUCCGUUAUGCUUAGCUCUGCAGCUCGGACAUCAUCUUUACACUCAGCUGUUCCUGGGCAUAAUGCUCCACACAAUGACCCUGCAGAUCCCCAAGGCCUGCCUGCCUGCCUGCCUGCUGUCACUCACCUGGAGGUUGCAGGGUGCUGUGCCUCCUGGCUGGACUUGCUGCUGCUAGGUGUCACUUGCAAGACACUGAGAGCCCACCUGCUUGGAACUGCAGGCAACAAACACAAACGAGAAAGAAGGAAGAAAGGAUUCUUGGAUUUCACAGGCUUCACAGGAUUCAUUAAAACACAUUCUGCUGUGGAGCACAGCUGCAAGCAUUUCACCUGGGCAAAAAAGGGGUGGAGCCUGGCUCCAGCCCUCCCCACCCUCGUUUAAGGGCUGCCUGUCUAAGGGGAAGAAUCUCUACUGGGACAUCUGCUCUGUGCUAAUACUUUCUGAGUCCUGUUCUUCAGAAAGGGCUCUUUGUUUACUAGCUUGAGUCCUUCCCCAUUCUUAGGAAAAUUAAAACACAGGAAAGCAGCUGGAUCAGCUACUGCCUUUCACUACAGUUACCAUUUUAGGUUAUGGAUCAAGGUUGAACUGUACAGAGAGAGUGCAGCCACAAGGCUCUGGCUGUGCCGGGCCUCCCACCAGCCUGGGCCCCAAAGCAGCCCCAACUGUGCCUGGUCCUCCCCAAUUCUGGGACCCAAAGCAGCCCCAACUGUGCCUGGUUCUCCUCCAUCCUAGGCCCCAAAGCAGCCCCAACUGUGCCUGGUCCUCCUCCAUCCUAGGCCCCAAAGCAGCCCCAACUGUGCCUGGUCCUGCUUCAUCCUGGGCAGCAAGAGCCUGGCUGUGCCGGGGCUCCCUUUGGUCUGGGCCAAGAGCAGGCCUCAACUGUGCCAGGCCCCAAUCCAGCCCAGGCCCCAAAGCAGCCCCAACUGUGCCAGGCCCCCCUCCAUCCUGGGCCCCAAAGCAGCCCCAACUGUGCCAGGCCCCCCUCCAGCCCAGGCCCCAAAGCAGCCCCAACUGUGCCAGGCACCUUUCCAGCUCGGGCCCCAAAGCAGCCCCAUCUGUGCCAGGCACCUUUCCAGCUCGGGCCCCAAAGCAGCCCCAACUGUGCUUGGUCCUGCUUCAUCCCGGGCCUCAAGACCCUGGCUGUGCCUGGGCCCUUUUUGGUCGGGGCCCAGAGGAGGCCUCAACUGUGCUAGGCCCUUCUCCAGCUCAGGCCCCCCCAGUGCAGCCCCAACUGCACCUGGUCCUCCUCCAGCCUGGGCCCCAACACAGCCCCAACUGAGCCUGGUUCUCCUCCAGCCUGGGCCCCGAGGCUCUACCUGUGCCUGGGCCCCCUUCCUUCUGGGCCCACACCAGGCCUCAACUGUGCCAGGCCCCCUCCAGCCUGGGCCCCGAGGCCACCACUGUGCUGGACCACCCUCCGGCACAGGCCCUGCCCCAAGCCCUGCCCCCUGUGGACAGCUCUGCUCUUUGCCUGCUUGGUUUUUGUUCUCUCUUCACUCUGCCAGCUUAACUGGAUGAGUUUCAAUGGGGCCGAGUGUCGGGUCCUGCAUUUUGGUCACAACAAGCCCAGGCGUCCCCCCAGUCCUCCUUGGGGAGGAGUGGCUG